UCACGAAAGCAGGUUGCACUAGAAGUCGUUGAGCUGACCGCAAGGAGGCCAGCGCCCAAGGUGUGGCUUGUGAUUGGGGUG
rnacentral:rRNA from 1 species